GAACAGCUAUGUCUGCAGUGUCGGUGUCUUCAGUGAGAGCCAAAACAAACCAACUUUUCAGCGUGAAACAACUCAACUCGUGUAACCUGAGGAAACGGUCUCCACUUCAUCAGACAUCACCUAGACACAGAGCUGGAUGAGGCCAGCACAAACAGCGGCCUAUUCGACGAAGAUGAUGGAUCCAUGGGGUCAGGAAAGCCAGAAGCAGGGGAGCUGGAGAGGUACCUUUCAUGUCCAUUCACUGGAGGUGUGGAUCUAUUGCAUGGCGUUCCUCACAUCAAGAAGCUGUCGAUCAAAGUCAAUACAGCUCUUCAUGCAUCUGGAGCUUGUGAAGGACUUCUUAGUCAUGCAGGACUUCUGUUCACUGCUAAACAGUUACAGCUUCACAGAAAGAACCUUGAGAGCAAACUGCUGCUGAAGCUUAACCAUCACCUCACUGAGUGAAGAAAUAGCACAAUUUUGCUAAAUAUG